UUAGCUUAACACCGAAAUUGUGAAAAGCUGGUGACCACAAGUGACAUAUUUUAGCUUUGGUAGAAUUUAGCCUUACUGUAAGUUACCGCAUAGCUAGCUAACACCAAUUCAUGAUGUAACGUUGUUAGUCCUUUUUAAAAGGUGGUUAAAGUGAUUUUUUUGUUUUAUUGUUCAGUCGAGUACAGGAGGCAGUGAUGAGGCUUUUAACAAUGACUUAAUGCAGCACUGUUAUUGUGUCAUAACCCACUAGAGGACGCCCUGGUACAUGCAAAGAAAACUGGGUACUACGGACCGACUGAACCACAACAUGUCUAGGUUAAAAUAUCACAUGUCAUUGCCUGUGGCAGUGGGUGUCAUGUUGGUGGGGCUCCCAUACUCUAUCUCUCUUGCUGCUCAAUGGAUUUAUGGUUGGCCCAACAAGCCUGGAUAUAAGAAGUACAUAGAAGCACUAAAACCAAGGCGGAUAUACUGCUUGACCAGAGCUGUGCUGGAAACGGUCAAAUAUCUGCAAUAUGGGAGACUUUACUUUCAGUGGAAGUUAUGGUACAGGAAUGACGAAAACCGUAAGCAUUAUGAAAAGGGCAUCCCAUUUGGUCGCAGAAGCAAUAAGCUGGACUUGUACCACCCUCCAAACAUGGGCAGGUCCAAAGAUGUGCCUGCACCUUUGGUGGUUUUCAUCUACGGAGGUGCAUGGGGCUCCGGCGAAAGAUCCAUUUACUGUUUGCUGGCCAGGCAGAUGGCUGAGGAACUGAGUGCAACAGUCAUUUGUCCUGAUUACAGCACCUAUCCAAAGGGGAACGUUUUAGGGAUGGUCCAAGAUAUUGCUGACUGCUUGGUUUGGGCCCAAGAGAGUGGACCGAAGUUCAACUUUGACAAAGACAACAUAGUGUUGAUUGGCCACUCCGCGGGUGCACAUUUGUGUGCACUGACCACGCUGUUUCUCAUUGAUGCAAGAGAGGAGCUUUUCAUAGAGGCCAGCAAGCAGAGGGACGUUACACUGGCGAUCAGAGGAGUCAUUGGUCUGAGCGGCGUUUACAACAUCAUGGACCAUUAUGAGCACGAGCAGAAGCGAGGAGUCGAAUAUGUCUCCACCAUGCACAAAUCCAUGAAUGGAGUGGAGAACUUCCCCUACUACUCACCAACACACUUACUGGAGAACUUGAGCCAGGACAAACUGAGCAGAGUGCCUCCGUUCGCUUUGCUCCACGGGACCAGUGACAUUAUCGUUCCCGUUGAAUCUUCCACAAAGCUCUCUGAGCUCCUCACCUCGCUGUCUGUAAAGGUGUCGCUCUACAUGCUGCCCAGAGUUGACCACACAGAGAUGGUCACUGACCUCAUGGCGCCAGACAGGCACUUCUACCAUCCCAUCUACAGCUGCAUCAAACAGGAGUACAGAAAUUUUUUGGAAACCUGCUGAUGUCCCAUCAGAUCAGAAAAACAUUCAUUCAUCACUAAUAUUAACUGAUUGUGCCAUACACUUACUUUGUUUACAGUAUCUGCUUUAAUACUUCAUAAAUUUUUUGUGAUUCCAUAAUAAUGAUUUAUAUUUUGUACAGUUCUGUGAUUGUAAUCCAGGAGUUACUUCUAAUUUAUUUUUAAUCUGUAAUCUGAAAAAAGCUUUCUAAAUUAACUGCAAUCCGGAGAACAUCAUUGUAAUGAUGUAGAGAUAUUAUCCAGAUUGUAUUUGUGAAGCAAUAACAGUAUUAUGAGAAAGGAGUAAAGCACAUUAAUACAUACAUAGUAUUGAAAUGUGAGUCCAAUUAUCAAAACUGUACUUAAAUCAAAACAUUUUGAUUCAUUAACAUGGAUGUUAUUACCAAAUGAAGCUUUUACUUGAUUUAUUGUAACAUUGUAACUUGAAUAACUAUUUAUUGAUCCUGGACACAUUAAACCCACCAGAAAGAACUGAUAGAUUUAUUUGCCUUUUGUAUUUAUUAACUUACUACAAAUCUCUCACACAUAGGGGAUAUUAUACAUGUAUAUUUUGAUAAGCAGGAGCAAUUACAGCAUGUACCAAUAUAAACAUUCUUCAAAAAUCUUCUAUUUUGUAAAAUGCCCAAUUUUAUGUUUUAUACAUGGAAGUACAGUGUUUGUCUUUACCACAUGCUUGUACCAUAAGUUUUGUAUCUGAAUGCAUUAUGCAUGCUUAACUACAAUAGUAAACUCAUAACAUCAGUAUGGUAAUAAUCUGGUAGAAAAUAUAAAUAUACAUAGCUACAGUGUAUACAAAUCUGUGGAAGCAGGUUAUAUCAUGUUAGACAAAUUCAGUAUAAGCAUUUGAUUAUAUAUUUUACAACAUAAUUUUCCUUUAGAGAUUAUAAUGUGUGAGUGGGCUCACACUAUUAUAUUAUAUAUAUAUAUAUAUAUAUAUAUAUAUAUAUAUAUAUAUAUUAUUAUAGUUGUAGAUUUAACUAUAUAUAUAUAUAUAUAUAUAUAUAUAUAUAUAUAUAUAUAGUUGUAGAUUUAACUAUAUAUAACUAUAUAUAGUUAAAUCUACAACCUUUUUCCAUUGGACUUUUCCAUGGUAGUGGAACUACCAUAGUACUUAUUGAUAAUAAUAAUAAUACUAUUAUUUUACCCUUUUGUAAAUUUUCACACAACUUGGUGUCUGGAAGAAUGUUGUAUUUAAUAAAAUGUGUAUAAAAUAAAUCAAUUUACCUUCCCAGCUUUAUUUACAUUUCCUUUCGACUUAAAAAGAAACUGCAAAAUCCCCAUAAUAUAUCAAAACAAUAUAUUUAUGUUUUUAUUAAAAUAAAAUGGUGAACUAUAGCCUAGCUGCUCUGUAAAUUUGAGUUAAAAAUGCUAAAUAAAUGUUUCACAGUAACCAAAUGAGUGAACUAGAAAAAAGCUGCCGGAAUUGAUGAAGCCUUUAAGCUUUAAGUGAAUAAUAUUUCAGUAAUAUUUUUUAAUAAUUUAAUAAACUUGAUUCAUUUGGUUGGUACUUACGUGACAUUUAAUAAAAGCUCAUCCAAGUCAGGUUAAUUAAGACCUCUUUAAAAGUCUUAUUUCCACAUGCUGCUGUUGAAUUUUCCCCAUCGUCUUCUAGCUUUUAUUUUGAAAACUGAGAUUAUUUUGCGCACACACACACACACACACACUCACGCACGAGGCGGAGUUUAGCGAGGACCUACAUCGGAGCCUCAGCUCAUUUGAAGCUGUGCCGCAUAGCUUCUCACACACUCAUUCUGGUCCUUUAGUGGAGGGGGUUACCUGAAACAGUUUGUCGGUACCGAAGCGUGAAGAAGUGAAAACAGGUGUGUAAAUAUGUAAGUGCGCAGUCCGCCAACACCAGCGU
rnacentral:lncRNA from 15 species